rnacentral:lncRNA from 1 species
UUUGUUCAACCAGUAUGAGUCCAAUUCUAGUGCUGUGAUCACCCUCAUCCAGCCGUAUACUUAAAUUGACGUGCCCAUCUGUAUAUAUCAGAAAACAAAUGUAUAAACGUCCAAUGGAAAUAUAUUACAGAGAAAAUGUACUAUAAUCCCUGAACACUAUGGUUGAAUUACCUCCUACCACAGGGCUAAUACAACUGUCAACGCAACUUUCCCACAUGUCACCAAGAAUAUCAUCUUCGUGGGUCAAUAUGGUACCUACAUCUAUAAAAUAAGAUAAUGGUAAAUCAAAUAUUCACAAUCUUUUGUUUUAUUCGACACACUGGUCAUUAUCUUUUUUCUGUUUCACACAUUGAUGAUUCAACAAAAUUAAUCAGAUCUGUUUUGUUCGCAAAGUUGAUUAUCAUAUUUAGACAUCAUCACCAAUAAAUGAGACAGAUAAUUGACUCAACCUGAUAUGGUUAGCAUAGAAUUUACUACUGAUAUGAUAGCAAUGUUUACAGCCAAAGACCCCAUUAUGACAGUAUAGAAGAGACAAUGACAAUGAUCCUAUUUGAAGCAAGAGCAUUUCAUUGGAUCCAAAUCAAAUUUUGUACAGAAUUCAAUGACAGAAAACCAAUAAGACAACUUGGUGAGAUGUAAUACUACACUGAAAUCAUAAUUAGUUUGUCCACCCUCUUCCUCACCUUAAAAUUGCUCAUUAAUUGAUACGGUAGAGUAUACUACAUGCAUUCUUCUUCUUCUUCCUCUUCUCCCCCUCUCCUUCUUCUCCUCCCUCCUUUCCU